CACUCAGCCAUCUCAUCUGCUCCCGUGUGUUCUCAAUUAUCAUCCCCAUGCUGACGAUUCUUAGAUCUGCUUAUCCAGCCCUAACCUCUCUCCUGACCUCCAGUGUCAGGAGAGGCAGUGAGAGCAGAGGGGCCUCUGGGAGAGUGUCUGUGUCUGGCCUCAGAGGCCCUCCUGCCUCCUCAUUUCUGAUUUUGUGGGGGCUGCACUUGGGGGUGAGGGGUGCAGGGACGCUCUAUUCCCCAGAUGUCCCCUAGACAUCUCAAACUCAACACGUCCCAAGCUGAGCUCAGACCCUUCCCCACAAACCAUCCCCUUUUCUCAGCUUCCUCCCAUCACCCAAGCUUGCAGCCCAGGGCUCAGCCUUGACUCUGCCCUGAGGACUUCCGGGGGUGGGGGCUCCCCCUCUGAGGCUGCUGUGCCAGCGUGACAGGUAGGCUUGCUGCUUCCUCAGAGCUCGCUCGUGCAGAAGCUUGGGUCCCUGCUGCUCCCCACCCCCGCCAGUCCCAGAGGGCAGCUCCAAGGUCCCUAACAUCCCAAGGCACACGGCCCUGCCAUGAGGCUAGGGUAGACCUUCUCCUCUCCGAAGGCAUCGCUGAAAUCAUCCUGGAGACGUGCUGCAUUUGAAGUCAGAUGUCCAGGAUUCAAAUCCUGGCUCUGCUCAAUACCCACGUCUUUUCUCCCUUUGGGCCUCAGUUUCCCCUUCUGUACAAUGGGUGAUUGCACUGGACGGCUGGUGAGUUCCCUUCCGAGCUCUGAAUCCAUGGUCCUAUGGUCAAGUCAGUCCUGCUGCCCAGGGAGGCGUCUGGCAUUGACCCUGGAUCCCUGGACCUGUGGCCGUGAUGCCCUCCUGGCCAGGAGUCUGGUUCUGCCCCUGCCCACCCUUUGGUUCAAGAAAUCAGCAGGUUUCACUGCAGGUGACAGUCUGUGCUUACCUGGUGCUAAGCCGUUGAGAACAGUGACUUGGGUCACUGAAGGGCAGUGCGACAAACAGUGUUAACAGACAGCUGUAUGCUAAAGCGGUACCAUCUGGUCCAGUUCCAGGCACGACAUUCUGGGAAGGAUGCUGACAAGCUACAAAGCCUAACGUGGGAGAUUCCAAGAUGGUGAAUGGCCCUAGGACCACACCGUGCGAGAACUGGCUAAAAGAACGAGCCGUGUUUGCCUGGAGGAGACUUAGGGGGACCGUGAGCCCUGUCUCCGAAUAUUUCAAGGGCAGCUCCCAGGUGAUCCUUUCUUCCUCUCAGCUUCUGGGGCCUGGCACUGUCUUUGUCAAUGAUGUCCCCAGCCCCUUUCCUCCCAUUCUCUGGAAAAGCAGCUGCCAUGGACAGCCCCAUCACCGGCAUCUCCCUAUCCACAGUGGCCCCGCCUGCCCAGGCAAUCUCAAGAUGUUCGGACGCUCUCAGCAGCUCCUCAGGAGACAUUCUCAUCGGUGUAAUGAUGGGAGUGGGCCCAUGCCACCAUACCUGCGAGGGGUCUGUGCUCCCACACCCAACGGCGGGGCAGCUAGGGGAGAGGCAGGAGGUAGUGUGUGACAUACAGGUGACUCAAACCAGCACCACCACCUCGACCAUUUCCCCUCAGACCCCGAGGGGGACACUCCAGGACCCUGAACCCAGGAGCCUUGGGAACAGCUAGGUUUCCACCCAGUGCCCUCGGCCACCAUCCUGGGAGAUGCAGCCUGGGGAUGGCCUCUGCGGGGGCUGCAGCCCCAGAGACACAAAGUCCUUGGUCCUGUCCAAUGGUCUGACAGCAGAAGCUGAUGUGAUUCUGUUGGUGAUGACUAUUUGCUCUCUUGCUGUGCACUAAGGGCCACGGGACUUUUUGAUCUGACUUCCAGCUGGAAUCACUCUAGGUUGUCUCCUCCAUUAGAAUAUGAGCUCCCAAACUGUAUUCUCCUUAGAUCCCCAGAGCUGAGCACGGUGCUUUGCAUACAACAGAUGCCUAAUAAACGCUCUAUUUGUUCAC